rnacentral:lncRNA from 1 species
AUGCUGGUGCUGCUCCCCAGUGCCGCAGGAUGUUUGCCUUCCCUUGCACCCCAUGUCCCUGCACCCAACUGGCCCCCCAUAUCAACCUGCCUCCCACAGGCCGGCAGCCACCUGGGCUCUCCCGCCGCCCUGACCGCCCCAUGGGUGUCUCCCCAUCUACCUCCAGCUGCUCAUGUCCCUCCUGCCCCACCGCAUGCCUGUCUGCUGGCAAGAGGGCAGUGGGGGCUCACAGCCCCUGCCCACCUGUCCCCACCAGCUGCCCCAGCAGCCGGCUCUGGCCCCGGCUCCCCCUCAGAUGUGUUUCGCUCAGCCCACAGCUGCGGGAAUGCCGGGCCCAUGGGCACAAGGGGGCCUUUGUGUGAGAGGAGGCUGGUGCGGUGCGGGGGGAUGCGGCCAGGCCCAGCGUGCCAAGCAGGGACUGAGCUGAGAAGAGCCGCUGGCCCCGGGCAUGUGCAAGGGCAGCAGCUGCUGUGGCCACCAUGCUGCAGAGCGUGGCCUGUGCGCUUGCUAGCUGGCCCCGGGCUCCCCUGCAAGGCUCCCUGCCGCAGGGACCGGGAGUCUCCCCGCAGCCACCGUGCACUGGCAGCUCCUCCCACCCGGGGCUCGUCCCUGUCUCUCCUGCCCCGAGUGCUUGUGGCAUGGGGAUCGUCACCACCAGCCACCCGCAGAGUGGGGAGCAGUGGUAAAUACCAGCGCAGCUCCCCCGCAGAGCUGGCACCUCCUUGGCGAGACUCAGAGCGGCAUCCUGCUUGCCAAGGGACUGAGCUCCGCAGCAAGGUGGAUGGAGGGCCCGCGGUGCACGCUCCCAUGGGAGGCGGGCUGGGGGCCCGCAGAGCUGGCAGGGUAGCGGCAAGGAGGGUGCACAGUGAGGGAGGGAGCAGAGCAGGGUCUGCUCYGCUGCAGGCCUGGAYGUUGGGGGCUGAGAGUACGGCACAGCAGCUGCUGCAUUCGGCCUUUUUCAGCAGCUGCCAUCUCAGCGCCAGCAGCAAAACAGGGAAUGUGCAUAGGCCGAGAGCUUUCCAAGCCCUGGACACAGUGCAUUAA